UACGUAGGGGGCAAGCGUUGUCCGGAAUUAUUGGGCGUAAAGGGCUCGUAGGCGGUUUGUCGCGUCGGGAGUGAAAACACUGGGCUUAACUCAGUGCUGGCUUCCGAUACGGGCAGACUAGAGGUAUGCAGGGGAGAACGGAAUUCCUGGUGUAGCGGUGGAAUGCGUAGAGCUCCGGAAGAACACCGGUGGCGAAGGCGGCCCACUGGUCCGGUACUGACGCUGAGGUGCGAAAGCGUGGGGAGCAAACAGG
rnacentral:rRNA from 1 species